CUCUCUACUCUCUCUCUCCCCUUCUCACUGUUGUAGCACUGCUGCUGAAUUUGUCACUCGCCUCGCCGCUGUUUGCCUCUCUCCCCUCCAUCCCACGCCUCCUCUUUCUCUACCACCACCACCGCCACCUUGACUUCUGCGACCACCACAACCGUCGCGACCACCUCCGUCGCUGCCCUCUCUCUCUCUUUUCUCCUUACCCCCCAUCACCUCUGAUCUUCACCAAUCUUCUCUCCAGUCGUAGAUUUAAGAUCACCGUCAUAGUUCGGGGACAAAGAGAGUUCAACACCGUGUUGGUGUCGCUGUUCCAGUGAAGCCCGAUCCCAAGCCGCAAUCAUGUAUCCAAGAUCUCAGAUCUGCCUCGAACAUGUUUGUAUGCUUUGGUCCAAUUUCUCCCUUUGUAAUGUGUUCAUCAUAGUUCUUGUUUCGGCAAAGAAAUCCGAAGACUAGAGCAAACACAACCAUCAGAGAGAGUAGUCUGGUUUGAUUUCUUGCAAAAUUUGUACAUACAUGAAAAUUUUAUACAAAAAGAUACAAACUCAGAAAGGUUUCUAUCAAAUUUUCCUUGAAAGUGCGUAUAUGGUGGCAACAAUACUACAUUGGAAUGAAUUGAUUCAGACGUAGAAGAGGUUCAUCUUUGUGGUCAUCAACGUUUAAAAGAUAAUGAUGAUGAAGAAGCAGUAGCAACAGUAGCAACAAGCCAGGAGGAGUCGUGGAGGAGGAGGAAGAAGAAGAGAGAGAGAGAGAGAGAGAGAGAAAAAUAGAUGAGAGAGAAAACUUAUUUUUGGCCAACUUCGGAAACCUGACGGUAUGCAAAAAGAGGUGAAACAAGACAUAUGAGGGGUGGAAUGAAAAUUAGGCCACAAGGUGAAUCCAACAAUACAAAAAUGAGGCAAAACGAAGUUAUGACGAAAGAGAUAUAAGUGUUUGAACAUGUGGGUUUGAAUCUGAAAAUUUUACCUAAAGAAAGAAAUCUUAUUUUUGGCCAACUUUCGGAGCUCUGACGGCAAGCAAAAAAAUGUGAAACAAGGCAUAUGAAGAGUGAAAUGAAAACCAGGCCAUAAGGUGAAUCUAACGACGCAACAGAGUUACAACGAGGGAGAUACAAGUGUUUGAACAUGUUAGUUUGAAUCUGAAAUUCUAUCCAGAUUUUUGUUAGUUUAAUAUGAUGGAGAUGCAUGGAGGGGCCAUAUUGAAAUACA